GAGUUAACACGUAAACGAUACAUUACAAUUAUGUUUUGUUAUCAAAAGUAAAUUGAUCCAGCGAUUGAAGCUAAACCAGAGAAAAACAUAAAUGCGCUUCGAAAUAAGUUUUUAAAACCCCAUCUGUGAAUUAUACUGCGGAAAUUUUGAGUAGCCUUUACAUCUUUAAGUAUUAGAUCUGGAUUUAACGUUUGUAAAGAGUUAAUGUCCUUUUUCAUAAACAAAAGCGUGAAAGGAAUAAUACAUAGUCCAGAUAAAGCCGAUAUAGCAUACAAUUUUGAAGAGAAUAUACUUCUCUUCCGUUCCGAAUAAGACAAAUAGCCCUGAACCAGAGCAUUGGCAAUGGCUAAAAAUGGGAAGCUCUUUUUGCCCAUACUAUAUAUGUAUUUCCAUUGAGCCAGAGCGACGUCUGCAGGACCGAUUAAAAUAGCAGGCAACACUUGACUGGUAAUGUAAGCAAUGGCUCCUGCACUUCCGCAAGGAGUAAGAAUUCCGACAGAUUGAAACAAAUAGACAAGACUCAUCGUGAAUUAGUGAAAUUGAGUGA